rnacentral:rRNA from 1 species
UACGUAGGGGGCAAGCGUUUGUCCGGAUUUAUUGGGCGUAAAGAGCGUGUAGGCGGCCUGAAAGGUCAGCUGUGAAAACUCGAGGCUCAACCUCGAGACGUCGGUUGAAACCAUCUGGCUAGAGUCCGGAAGAGGAGUGUGGAAUUCCCGGUGUAGCGGUGAAAUGCGCAGAUAUCGGGAAAAACACCCGUGGCGAAGGCGGCACUCUGGGACGGUACUGACGCGUGAGA